AGAAAAGAAAAUGAGAAAUGAGAAGAAAAUGAGAAAUGCAUAUACCAGGAACCUAAUAGGCUGUUGGUGAAGGGGGUGAAUGAAACUCUGGUAGCUCAGAGGGUUGUUCCUGCUCUCAUUACUCUCUCCAGUGACCCUGAAAUCUGACUCUUCGAGGCAUGAGUGAAGCGUUAGUUGACAAGCGGGUUGCUCCGGCCCUUGUUACCUUGUCCAGUGAUCCUGAAUUCUCUGUCAGGAUUGCCACAAUUCCAGCCUUUGGCACUAUUAUGGAAACAGUAAUUCAAAGAGAGUUGCUGGAAAGAGUGAAAAUGCAGUUGGCUUCUUUCCUGGAAGAUCCUCAGUAUCAAGACCAACAUUCUUUGCAUACAGAGAUCAUAAAAACAUUUGGUAGAGUUGGCCCUAACGCAGAACCCAGGUUCCGAGAUGAGUUUGUUAUACCACAUUUGCAUAAGUUAGCCUUGGUGAACAACUUACAGAUUGUGGAUUCUAAAAGACUGGACAUUGCUACACAUCUUUUUGAAGCCUACAGUGCACUUUCCUGUUGUUUCAUUUCAGAGGAUUUAAUGGUUAAUCACUUUUUACCGGGUCUCAGAUGUUUACGGACUGACAUGGAACAUCUC
rnacentral:sRNA from 1 species